rnacentral:lncRNA from 1 species
UAGUAGCAGCUUUAAUGGUGGUUGUAGCACUAGUGGUACUGUGGACAUGGCGGUUCGUGAAGUGGGUCUGGAUAAAACCGAAGAUGCUUGAGAAUUACCUGAGAAGACAGGGUCUUGCCGGAACCUCUUACACGCCUCUCGUCGGAGAUAUAAAGAGGAAUGUUGAUAUGAUGAUGGAGGCGAGAUCUAAACCCAUCAAGAUAACGGAUGAUAUCACCCCACGUCUCCUUCCUCUUGCCUUGAAGAUGUUCAAUUCUCACGGUAUAGUGUCUUUCUUCGCUUUCCUUUUUUGUUUCAGCAGAGUUUGGGAGUUGAAUAGUGUUUGAGUUAUGUUGAUGGAACAGGAAAGACUUUCUUCAUAUGGAUUGGACCAAUUCCAGCGAUCAUGAUAACGAAUCCUGAGCAGAUCAAGGAAGUCUUUAAUAAGAUCUAUGACUUUGAGAAGGCUGCUACAUUCCCUUUGUUCAGAUUGUUAGCAGGCGGGCUCGCGAGCUAUAAAGGAGAUAAAUGGGCGAGUCAUAGGAGGAUCAUCAACCCGGCUUUUCACCUCGAGAAGAUCAAGGUUUUUGUUUUUGGCUGUUGUCUACAUCCAGUUAGACUGUAUGUGUGUGUGAUCGUUUUACCAACCAUGUUUUCUUUGGUAUACAGAACAUGGUUCCUGCGUUCUACCACUGUUGCAGCGAGGUUGUCUGCCAAUGGGAGAGGCUAUUUACGGAUAAAGAAUCGUCGUCUCUUGAAGUCGAUGUUUGGCCUUGGCUUGUGAAUAUGACUGCGGAUGUAAUCUCGCAUACUGCUUUUGGAAGCAGCUAUAAAGAAGGGCAGAGGAUAUUUCAACUCCAAGGGGAAUUAGCUCAACUCAUUGCACAAGCUUUUAAGAAAUCUUACAUCCCUGGAUUGAGGUAAAACCAUUUGUCAUGUCAUAAACUAAACUUUGAAGAUUGUGAGCUUAUGAGAAGUUGUUGUCUGGUGUAGGUUUUACCCAACAAAGAACAAUAGAAGGAUGAAAGCAAUAGACAGAGAAAUAGAUGUAAUACUGAGAGGAAUUGUGAGCAAACGAGAGAAGGCGAGAGAAACUGGAGAAGUGUUGGAUGAUGAUUUAUUGGGGAUAUUGCUUGAAUCAAAUUCUGGGGAAUCUCAAGGAAAUGGAAUGAGCGUAGAAGAAGUGAUGAAAGAGUGCAAGUUGUUUUAUUUUGCGGGUCAAGAAACAACGUCAGUUAUGUUGGUCUGGACUAUGGUCUUAUUGAGCCAUCACCAAGACUGGCAAGCUCGCGCACGAGAGGAAGUAAGGCACAUACUUAGUGAUGAUAAUAAACCCGAUAUAGAUUCUCUCAGCAACCUCAAAGUCGUAAGUGAACAAAAAUCGCUACUUCCAUCAUCCUCUUGCAUCGGAAAACUGCAUAUAUAGUUACCAAAAUCACUUGAACUUCAAUUUAAAGUUUGCCGUUGAAUGGUUUUUCAACAGAUGACUAUGAUCUUCAAUGAGGUUUUGAGGCUAUACCCUCCGGUGGCUCAGCUUAAACGAGCUGUCAACAAAGAAAUAAAGCUAGGUGAGGUUACCAUUCCAGCUGGAGUUCAAGUUUAUAUUCCUACUAUUAUUGUCCAUCACGACACCGAGCUUUGGGGAGAUGAUGCAGCGGAUUUUAAGCCAGAGCGGUUCAGAGACGGGCUCUCAAAGGCAACAAAGAACCAGGUCUCUUUUUUUCCUUUCGGAUGGGGACCAAGGAUCUGCAUCGGUCAGAGUUUUGCUCUCUUGGAGGCAAAGAUGGCAAUGGCUUUGAUUCUUCAGAAAUUCUCCUUCGAGCUUUCUCCUUCCUAUGUUCACGCACCUCAAACAGUAAUGACCACACGUCCUCAAUUCGGAGCUCAUCUCAUCCUGCACAAGCUCUGAGCUUUGAAUUUCCAAGAUGACGUGAUCAAAAGUCACUGUUCUGUAAGAAAAAGAUGUCAUAGAAAGGCUUAUAUAGUCAUAGGUUUUGAAGGUUUCAAAUUUGUCUCUGAAAUUAGUCGCUAUUCGCUAAGGUUAAGGUCUUUUUCAGUCAAGUCUUAAGGUCGUUUUCCUUUGUGGCUGCAUUAUUAAUCUUGAAAAGUCUAUAUUAAGAAGCUAAUUUUAACUCUACCAUCUUCUAGAUAUGAUACGAUAUUCAGUGACUCAUCUCCAAUUUUCAUCAGUUUUCAAAGUUUUGCUGCUUUACUGUAAUGUUGGAGAAAGUUCCAAACUUUAGAGUAAGGGAAAUGUUGGAGAGUUAACUGUCCAAUCUCCCAUAAUCAUAACUCAAUAUGCUUUGGAUGCACACCAUCACUACACCAGCAAGCAACACUUCAUCCUCAGUCUCAGUCUGGUCUUUUGAACGGGUUCUUGAUGGUGCAUUGACCAUUCUUCACCUGCAAGGCUUCAACUACUUUUGCCGUCUGAGGAAGUGUUGCAGAAAGUACAUAGCUAUAGAAAUUUGGAGAGUUCAUUAUAUCUAAUCUUGCAAUUCCAUAAAUUUCUACGGAGACCUCUCGGCGUCUGACUGAUAGGUACAAACGCGCUUAUCCUUCACCCCAAAAAGAGUUGAGAGAGCAGUUCAAUUCAUCAUGCUCAGUGGAACACUUUUCAAGAUUUAUCCAUUAAAUAAAUUACAAGAAGACAAGAGCAGAUGGAAAACCCUCCUCACACGAAAAGUACAGACAAAGCCCCUUUUCCGGCAAAGGAUUUGCACUGUAAAUUGUAUAAUCGAAACUCCACUGAAAGAAAAAAAGUCUCAAUCUUUAUAAAGACCCACGAAAACUUGCGGACUCCAGAGUGAGUGUGAGAAUCGGAGAUGUCUUAUUCAGUAGUAGUAGCUUUAGUGGUGGUUGUAGCACUGUGUAUAUGGCGGAUCGUGAAGUGGUUCUGGAUAAAACCGAAGAUGCUUGAGAAUUACCUGAGAAGACAGGGUCUUGCCGGAACCUCUUACACGCCUCUCGUCGGAGAUAUAAAGAGGAAUGUUGAUAUGAUGAUGGAGGCGAGAUCUAAACCCAUCAAUAUAACGGAUGAUAUCACCCCACGUCUCCUUCCUCUUGCCUUGAAGAUGCUAAAUUCUCACGGUAUAGUGUGUCUUUCUUCGCUUUUCUGAUUCAAAGAGUGCUCUUUUUGUUUCAGUAGAGUUGGGAAUUGAGUUUGACUCUGUUAGGUUAAUUGUUGGUGCUUGAUUGAGUUAUGUUGUUGGUGGAACAGGAAAGACUUUCUUUAUAUGGAUUGGACCAAUUCCAACGAUUGUGAUAACAAAUCCUGAGCAGAUCAAGGAGAUCUUUAAUAAAGUUUACGACUUUGAGAAAGCUUCUACAUUUCCUUUGAUCAGAUUGUUAGCAGGCGGGCUCGCGAGUUACAAGGGUGAUAAAUGGGCCAGUCACAGGAGGAUCAUCAACCCGGCUUUUCACCUCGAAAAGAUCAAGGUUUUGGUUUUCUCUCUUGUCUGAAUCCAGUUAGACUCUGUGUAUAUGUGUGUGAUCGUUUAGUAACCUUUUUGUUUGGUUUACAGAACAUGAUCCCUGCCUUCUACCAUUGUUGCAGCGAGGUUGUCUGCCAAUGGGAGAAGCUAUUUACAGAUAAAGAAUCGCCUCUUGAAGUAGAUGUUUGGCCUUGGCUUGUGAAUAUGACUGCGGAUGUUAUCUCACAUACUGCUUUUGGAAGCAGCUAUAAAGAAGGGCAGAGAAUUUUCCAACUACAAGGGGAAUUGGCUGAGCUCAUCGCACAAGCUUUUAAGAAAUCUUACAUCCCUGGAUCGAGGUAAAACCACAACCUCCAUUUUCUUUGUCCUGUUGCAAACUAAAGAUUUUGAGAAUUUGUUGUUUAGUGUAGGUUUUACCCAACAAAGAGCAAUAGAAGGAUGAAAGCAAUAGAUAGAGAAGUAGACGUAAUACUGAGAGGUAUUGUGAGUAAACGGGAGAAAGCGAGAGAAGCUGGAGAACCAGCAAACGAUGAUUUGUUGGGGAUACUGCUUGAAUCAAUUUCAGAGGAAUCUCAAGGAAAUGGAAUGAGCGUAGAAGAAGUGAUGAAAGAAUGCAAGUUGUUUUAUUUUGCGGGACAAGAGACAACUUCAGUACUUUUGGUCUGGACUUUGGUUUUAUUAAGCCAUCACCAAGACUGGCAAGCUCGUGCACGAGAGGAAGUGAGGCAAGUACUCGGCGAAAAUAAUAAACCCGAUUUGGAGUCCCUUAACAACCUUAAAAUCGUAAGUGAAAAAAAACACAACUUUCACCAUCAUCUUCCAUCUAAAAAACUGCAUUUAUAGUUAACAAAGUCAGUUGAAUUUCAACUGAAAGGUUGUCUUUGAAUGGUUUUUCGACAGAUGACUAUGAUCUUCAAUGAGGUUUUGAGGCUAUACCCUCCGGUGGCUCAGCUUAAACGAGCUGUCAACAAAGAAAUGAAGCUAGGAGAGUUUACCCUUCCAGCUGGAAUUCAAAUUUAUUUACCAACCAUUCUUGUCCAGCGCGACACCGAGCUUUGGGGCGAUGAUGCAGCGGAUUUCAAACCCGAGCGGUUCAGAGACGGGCUCUCAAAGGCAACAAAGAACCAGGUCUCCUUCUUUCCCUUUGGGUGGGGACCAAGGAUUUGCAUCGGUCAGAAUUUUGCUAUGUUGGAGGCAAAGAUGGCAAUGGCUUUGAUUCUACAUAAAUUCUCCUUCGAGCUCUCUCCUUCUUAUGUUCACGCGCCUCAAACAGUCAUGACCACUCGUCCGCAAUUCGGAGCUCAUCUAAUCCUGCACAAGCUCUGAUUUUGUAUUUCCAUGGAGAUGUCAUCAGAAGACUCAAUUAUGUAACAAAAAUAUGUCAUAGAAAGGCUUGUAGCCGUAUGUUGUGAAAUUUACAAUUUCGUUGUCUGAAACUAGUAGCUAUUCUCUAAGGUAAAGGUCUUCUUCAGUCAAGCCUAAGGUCAUUUUCUAUUGUGGCUGCAUUAUUAAUCUUGAAAAGUCUAUACCAAGAAGCCAAUUUCAACUCUACCAUCUUUAGGAUGUGUUUUAGAUAAAGCCAAUCGUUUCUCAUGUCAUAGGCCAAUAGAGAGAGACAACCAAAGGACUUGAGGAAAACAUAAAGUAUUAUGGAUGAUCUAGAAAAUCGAGAACAUUCGUUGAAUUUUCCUCUGCUUCAAACUUUAAUGACUUGACGCAUACGUAAAAAUAACAUCAAUUUAUCUAUCUAUAUAUACAAAGCAUUUUCAUCUGGCAUCUGCAAUUCAGUUAAAAAAAAAAAAAAAAAGAAAAAAACAUCUAACGAAUUUCUCAAGGAAGUGAGUUUAUGAGUGAUACAAAGAUACCAGCGGUAGCAGUUGCGGCUGCGAUAGUGGUGGUAACUGCGGUUGCGGUAUGGAUAUGGAAGGCCUGAAUCUAGCUUGGUUUAAACCAAAGAAAUAUGAGGCUUAUCUAAAGAGACAAGGUCUCUCUGGAAGGAAGCCAGUAUGGUGGAGCAAGCAAAGUCCAGACCCAUCAGUCUAACAGAUGAUUACACGCCUCGUGUCAUGCCUCUGAUACUACAGACAGUUAAGGAUCAUGGUAAGAAGCGGUUGGAUUUGAACUAAAAACAGAGAUCCUCUGUUUCUUUUACUCUUGAUUGGUUAGUGUUAAAAUGCUCUGUUUCUAUGGUUUGGUUUUUGGAUCGCACGGUUCAUCUGGAUUACUGGAGGAUAUAGCCUCAAGACUUCAUAAAUAAUUAUUGCAUCUGUAAAAUACAUCAUACAACAACAUGAUCAAAACAAAAUUGAAGAAAAUGCAUCAGCUUGAAACUGUUUUGGUUUGGUUUAAUACUUACAACUUUGAGUUGGUUAAUGCCUUGUAGAUCAGGUUUGUUAUCGCCAAAAACUUGCACCACUUCCUCUCGUGCGCGAGCUUGCCAGUCUUGGUGUUGGCUUAACAAAACCAUAGUCCAAGCCAAAAGUACUGAAGUGGUCUCUUGUCCCGCGAAAUAAAACAACUUGCAAUCUUCCAUGAUUUCUUCAGUGUUCAGUCCAUUUCCUUUAGUUCUUCAGUGUUCAGUCCAUUUCCUUUAGUUUGCCCUGAAUUCGAUUCAAGAAGUAUACCUAACAAAUCGUCACUUGGUGCUAAUGAUCCCUCUUAGUAUAAAUUGGAUUUCCUUAACUAUUGUUUUCAUCCUUCUAUUAUUCUUAGUUGGGUUUUCAUCCUUCUAUUAUUCUUAGUUGGGAAAUGCCUACACAUACAAAAAUUGACAAAGAAGAAUAAAUUCAAAAUUCCAAGAAUAUAUAUAUAUAUACGUUUCCAAAACGUUUCCAUUCUUUAACUUUAGAAAAAACUCGUUUCCCGUUUCCGAAACGUUUCGUUUCCGCGUUUCCGUUUCCGUUUCCAUGCAACAUAGGUUGUAAAACAAUGAUUUUGAAUAUUUUGUCAAAACAAAAUAUUUCAACGUCGUGGUAAAGAAAAAAGAGUAAAACGCGUGGAAGGUACUGAUUGACAAAGAAACGUCAAAAAUUAGGCCUGGGCAUUCGGGUAUCCGUUCGGGUUCGGUUCUUUUUUUUCGGGUAUCGGGUCUAUUUGGGUAAGGGGUAGAGACCCAUUCGGAUAUUCUAAAAAUUCGGUUCGGGUUCGGGUAUUUUAAUAAAAAAGCAAAAUACCCGAAAAUAACCAAAUCUAACCGAAAUACCCGAUUUCUCAAAAAUACAUUGGUUUUUUACUCGUAUAUAUCCAAAUCUAACCGAAAUACCCGAUUUCUCAAAAAUACAUUGGUUACUCUUUGCCCAAAUUUAACCAAAUAUAUCCAAAUGUUUCCGAAUUACUCAAAAAUACCUAGUAUAUUCGGAUUUAUGAUUGUAAUUUUAGGUAUUUUGGAUAUUAUAAGUAUAAAUAUAACUACUAUUUUUAGGUGUAUAUUUGUAUUCGGGUACCCACGGGUAUUGGAUUCGGUUCGGGUUCGGUUCGAGUUUUUUUCGGGUAGAAGGUCUAGGAUCUAUUCAGGUAUUUUUAAAAAUCGGUUCGAGUUCGAUUCGAAUAUUUUUUCAGGUUUUUCGGUUCGGGUAUUCGGUUCCAGUUAUUUUGUCCAGGCCUAGUCAAAAAGUUGAAGACAUUCAUGACUAGGCCACCACUCUAGGCAUGUGACCGAUACAAUUCUUCAUCUUUUUGUCGCUUUUAACACAAGUCCAAUUCUUUUUCUUACGCCUUCGUGGCAUGUGACUGUGAAUUGUGAACCUCCAAGUAAAGUAAAUUAAAAGACCAAAUAGUCACUACAGCAUAUAAUUGCCCAAAACACAUAAUAUCAAGUAUUUAACCUUUAUAUUCCGAGAAUUAUUAGCAACUUAUCUACCUCUAUCUCGCUCUCUCUUUUCUCUACUCUCUGAGAGAGAAAAUGGAGAUAUCAGUUGCAUGGGUAACAGUUUCAGUAGCGUUAAAGUGGGUUUGGUUUAAGCCAAAGAUGCUAUUGUUUUGGUUUGGAGAGUUACCUGAGAAGACAAAGUCUUGGGACAAAAAAAAGAAAGAGUAAAACCCAUGAAUGGUAUUGGUAAAUGACAAAGAAACGUCACAGAGUUGAAGAUUUCGUCCCUUGCCCGCCACUCAAGAGAUGACUUGUAUAUAUGACUCUUAUGCUGACCAAUAUAUUUAUAUAUCGCCUCUUAUUUUUGUCUGCUUUUUUACACAAGUCCAAAUUUGCUUCUUGCGCGCUCGUGGCAUGGGAUUGUGUGGCACGCAAAAAAUAUCAAUUAAUCACUAGAAAAGAAUUGGUCUGAACACAAACACUAUGAAGUAAUUAUUUAAGACCUCAUGGAUGAUGUCAUCACCAUAUCCAUAUCUUUUCCACAAUUUUCAACCUUUUUAUAUCCCGACAAUUUUAGCAAAUUCUCUACCUCUCUCUCUUCUCUGGGAGAAAAAAUGGAGAUAUCGGUUGCAUCGGUAACCAUUUCAGUAGCUAUAGCUGUUGUGUCGUGGUGGAUAUGGAGAACUUUACAGUGGGUUUGGUUUAAGCCAAAGAUGCUUGAGAGUUACCUGAGAAGACAAGGUCUUGUCGGAACUCCUUACACGCCUCUUGUCGGCGAUUUAAAGAGGAAUUUCAGCAUGCUGGCUGAGGCAAGAUCCAAACCCAUCAAUCUAACAGAUGAUAUCACACCUCGUAUCGUGCCUUAUCCCUUGCAAAUGUUCAAGACUUACGGUAUGCUUCCUGGUUGACAUCUUGAUCCUCUCUGUUUAGUACUGUUGUAGCUUUCAACUUUUGUAUCUCAAUCUGGAUUGAAACAGGGAGAACUUUCUAUACAUGGCUUGGACCCAUACCAACAAUCACCAUAAUGGAUCCUGAGCAAAUCAAGGAAGUGUUCAACAAAGUUUAUGAUUUCCAGAAAUCACAUACGUUCCCUUUGGCCAGAUUAAUAGCCGCUGGACUCGUUAGUUAUGAUGGUGAUAAAUGGGCAAAACACCGAAGAAUCAUCAACCCAGCUUUCCACCUUGAGAAGAUCAAGGUUUAAAAUCUUUAUCUUCCAUAGUCCUGAAUCAGAUUAGAUUGCUUGAUGUAUAUAUGUUCAUUUGGCUCUGAGCCAGUUUGUGUUUUCUGCUUCUAUGUAAUAGAACAUGGUACCUGCGUUCCACAAGAGCUGCAGCGAGACCGUUGGCAAAUGGGACAAGUUGGUGUCGGAGAAAGGGUCGUCCUGUGUGGUGGACGUUUGGCCUGGGCUUGUGAGUAUGACUGCAGAUGUGAUCUCUCGUACUGCUUUUGGCAGCAGCUACGUAGAAGGGCAGAGGAUAUUUGAGCUCCAAGCGGAAAUAGCACAGCUCAUCAUACAAGCUUUUCGGAAAGCUUUCAUCCCUGGAUAUCGGUAAUAAGAAUCUCAACUUGUCUGCUUUUAGAACAAGGCCUUUUAGAGCUUGAGUAGUGCCGCAAUCUAUUAGAUAUUUUGAUCCAUGUUGUGUUAUAUUCUCUCUGUCGUCUGUUCAUGCAGUUAUCUCCCUACGAAGGGUAACAGAAGGAUGAAAGCAGCAGCUAGAGAAAUCCAAGUUAUACUGAGAGAGAUAGUUACCAAAAGGCUUAAAGCAGCAGCUAGAGAAAUCCAAGUUAUACUGAGAGGAGCUGGGUAUACUUCUUGAAUCGAAUUUGGGACAAACGAAAGGAAAUGGAAUGAGUAUUGAGGAUGUGAUGGAGGAGUGCAAAUUGGAAUGAGUACCGAGGAUGUGAUGGAAGAAUGCAAGUUGUUCUAUUUCGCUGGCCAAGAGACAACAUCAGUACUUCUGGUUUGGACGAUGGUUCUGUUAAGCCAACACCAAGAUUGGCAAGCUCACGCACGAGAAGAAGUGAGGCAAGUUUUUGGCGAUAAAGAACCUGAUACAGAAGGCCUUAACCAACUCAAAGUUGUAAGUAUAAACCAAAACAAAAACUUUUUAAAGUGACUUCACUACUUUUGUUGCAUUUUGAUGAUUUAAGAUGAAUGAUUUGAUCCCUCACAGAUGAGGAUGAUAUUAUAUGAGGUCCUUAGGCUAUAUCCUCCAGUAGCCCAGCUGACCCGAGAAAUCCACAAAGAGAUGAAGCUCGGAGAUGUGACAUUACCCGGCGGUGUUCAGAUCAGUCUACCUAUCAUGCUAGUCCAACGCGACACAGAGCUGUGGGGUAACGAUGCAGGGGAGUUCAAGCCAGAGAGAUUCAAAGAAGGUCUCUCAAAGGCAACAAAGAACCAAGUCUCUUUCUUUCCCUUUGCGUGGGGACCAAGGAUUUGCAUUGGCCAGAAUUUCGCAUUACUUGAGGCAAAGAUGGCAAUGACUUUGAUUCUACAGAGAUUCUCCUUCGAGCUUUCUCCUUCCUAUGUUCACACGCCUUUCACAAUCGCCACCAUUCACCCACAGUUCGGUGCUCCUCUUAUGCUGCACAAGCUCUAAUCACAUAACCCAUGUGCUGUUAUCAAAUAAACUCGUCUUUUUUACGUAAAAUCCGAGAUUAAAAAAAAAAAUUGAAAUGAAUAAUACAGUCUCUCUCACCACAGAAGAAACUAAAUUAAACACUACAGAGCUUAAAUAUCAAAGGAAUGAAGGGAUGAGAUAUGUAAUGUGACGUUUUCUUUUUUACUGAAGUAAAAUAUUAUAACAACCAGUUUAAGAUAGGGUUUGUGGUAUGUUAGAGCACUUUGUGAGUUAUUAUGAGCAUAUGGGGCACAUAUGAGGGAGUGGGCACUUUUUUGGAGUUUUUUCACUGUGCAACAAAAAAUAAUACCAUUAUACCCUUACUACACGUGGACAGUUAACCAAACUAUGGUUAACUUGUUUAAUCUCAGCCGUUGGAUGUCCAGGAGAAAGAAAUGAUCUAACGGUUUGUUAUUACUGAAAGAUGAGACAAUGGAAUUGUGUGGAUAUUGCCGACAAAAAAGAUCUAAUGGUUGUGGGUGAGCACGGUAUUCGGAGUGGAGUUUGGUUGUAAAGAGAGAUAACUGAAGGUAGUGGAUUAUAAGAAAAGAGGAUUAUAAGUUCUAAAUCAAGGAUAAAUAUAUUUUUCAUUGUAUAACAAAUUAUAAUUAUUUUUUCUUUACAUUUGAAGAUCCAUUUUACUAUAGUUUAUAAAUAUAAUCAUAUAACAUAUAAAUAUUUUUAAAAGAUAAAAUAUAAAUUAUCCACAUAAUCUUGAACACACGACAAUUUCUUAUAAUUUUACAUAAAAAUUGACAACACAAUCAUUUAAAAUUACCGUCCAUACAAGCACAUCCACCAAACUCUAACCACAUGGUCAUUUCAAUUCAUGUCUAAUUUAUUUCUUCACUCUUAACGAAAAGUAUGUAGCCAUAAACCCUAGAAUCAUUGUAGAAAAUCAUGGUUCUUUAACCAAAAUACCCUAAACCUACACUAUAUAAAAUUUACCCUACACACUAAACCCUAAACCUUCUAUACUAAACCCAAGCACCUAAACCUAAACCCUAAACCCUAAACUCAAAACCCUUAAAUUUAAAACCUAAACCAUAGAGAUUUAACCCUUAACCCUUAACCUUAUACCUAAACCUAAUUCCAUAACCUCUAAACCUAAACCACAAACCCUAAACCCUUGAUACUAAACCCUAAAGCAUAAACGAUAAACUCUAUACCCUAAACACUCUACCGAAAAGAACAAAACCCUAUACUCUAAACAAUAAAUACUAAACCCUAAAUAGUAAAUCCUAAACCCUAAAUACUAAACACGAAAUCCUAUACCUUACACCCUAAACAUUAUACCAUAACCUCCAACCCUAAACCCUAAACAUUAAUACUAAAUACAAAACCCUAAUUACUAGACACUAAACCCUAAAUACUAUACCCUAAAUAGUAAAUGCUAAACCCUAAAAACUAAACACAAAACCCUUUACCCUAAACACUUAACACUAUACCGAUAAGAACAAAACCCUAAACCCUAAACAAUAAACACUAAACCCUAAACAGUAAACAUUAAACCCUAACUAAACACGAAAUACUAUACCCUAAACAUAAAUACUAAAUACUAAAACCUAAUUAUUAAACCCUAACCUCUAAAUACUAUAUACCCUAUCCAUCAUAACUUAGCCACGUGGUCGAUAUAAAUUAAACUCUAAACCAUAAACAAUAAACCCAAUAAGCUUAACCCUUACCUUACCAUCAAAAUAUUGCUACAGGGUUGGAUAAAAACUCUUUCCAUGUAAACCUAACCACGUGAUUCCAUAUACGCUCAAAUUCUAAGACUAUACUAUACCCAUAAGAAUGAAACCCUAAACACUAAACAAUAAAAACUAUACCCUAAACAGUAAAUACUAAACCCUAAAUACUCAAUAAACCGUAAACUCUAAACAUAAAUAAUAAAUACUAAACAAUAAUUAAUGCAUCCUAAACCCUAAAUAGUAAACAUAUCCAUCAUAACAUAGCCACGGGGCUGAUAUACAGUAAACCCUAAACCAUAAACAAUAAACCCUAAACAUCUAAAGUCAAAACUCUCAACUCUAAACCAUUGAGACUAAACCAUUAACCCUAAACCAUAUAACUAAACCCUAUACCAUAAACCCUAAACCCUAAAGCAUAAGACUAAACUCUUAACCCUUAAGCAUAUAACUAUACCCUAUACCUAAACCCUAAAUCCUAAACUCUAAACCCUUAACUCUAAAUUCUAAACCCUAAUCUAAACCCUAAACAUGAAAUCCAAAACUAUAACCCUAAACCCUAGAAUAAAACCUCUAACUUUUAUCCCCUCAACCUUAAACCGUAACUUUUAUAGAUAUAACAUCAAUAACCACCACUUUGGAUCCAUAAUAAUCUAAAACAUGUUUCUUAAUCUGAAAACGUAUAACAUUAUUGAGAUCGAUCUGUUCAUACACAAUCAUACAAUAUACACUCGUAUUGUUGUUUUGUUAUAUGUAAUCGUAGAUAUAUAAAUAUGGAGAUUUCUAUGGAAUAACUUUUCUGGAUAUGACCACUAGAACUUGUUUCAUCAUAUUUUAUCACGAUCUUUUAUAUAACAUAACACUUAUUUUGUGGACAACAUUAUACAAAAAUCACAUUAGAUUCGUAACAUAACAAAAUAUUGGCUUUCAUAAUGUUUUCUCUAUACAUAAAUCAUUCAUAAAUUCAUAAUGCAUAAUACAUCAUCCAUUAUGCGUCAUCCAUAAUGUGGCAUCCAUAAUAUGUCAUACACAAUAGUCAACAAUAAUAGUGGUGACUGAUAGAGAUAUGUGUAGGAAGUCAUUGACACAAAUAUAUUUUUAAAGGAAAAAAUAUAAACUAUCCACAUAAUCUUGAUAACAUGACGGUCUUGUUUUUAAUUUUACAUCAAAAUUUACAAUGUAAUCAUUUCAAAUUAUCGACCAUCUAUGCACAUCCACCAAAUUCUGACCACGUGGUCAUUUCAAUCCAGGUCUAAUUUAUUUCUCACUCUCAAAAAACAUAUUUUCACCUCUACCGAAACUUCAGACAAAGUAGGGAAAAUUAGCCACUUUUCUUCUCAUGAAGCUUCUUCUUCUUGUACGAUUUAAUCUAGGAUUCAUGAUUUCAACAAAACCUCUUUCCUUAUAUCAUUGAUAAAUGAAACCCCAAGCUGUCAUAGAAAUUGGUUUUCACAUAUAUCUUUAUUAAUUAUACAGUAAAAUCUAAAAUUAAGUAGUAUCAAUUAAAAGAAGAAGAAGAUAAAAUAUUUGAAUCUGUUUGGGUGAGACUCAAACAAGACGAGACUUUGAGCAUUCGUUUAUGUCGUCCAUGGAGAUUUAAAUGAGUAAGACGACGUUGCUCUGGGAUUUGGGAAGCUUCUUGAGGAUAUUAAGGAGAAGAAAAUUGGGUUUCUGAAAUUCAAAUCACAGAUCUGAUGGAUAUGAAUCUAAGACGAAGUGUAGAUAAAUCAAUGCGAAAAGUAAAAGAUAUGAUUAUGAAAGACCAUGAAAAUUGAAAUUCAUUGAGGAGUCGUCUCUCUCGAAUUCCGACAGCAAAUUAAUUCAUCACAGAUCACUAUUACUAUCCUUGGUACAAGGUGAGAGUAAAAGACGAAGAAGAGAGAUGGAAGAAAAAAUAAGUAAUAAGAGAGAUAGAGAUAACGAAGAAGAGAGAGAGAUAAAGGAUGUUUGGGUAGUGAGAGAUAAAUGAUGUUUGGGUGAGAUGAAGAGAAAGAUAAAUAAAUGAAGAAGAGAGAUAUAGAUGAGACGAAGGAGAGAGAAAGAGGAAUGAUAUUUGGAUAAAGAGAAAGUAAAUAUUGGGACCAUGGUUAGUUAGGAUGAGUUGAGGGUGUUAUGGUAAAAAAACUUAAAAAUGUGACCACUACCCCUAAUGUGUUCCAGAGGGAGAUUGAGUUUCAAUAAAAUGUCCCAUAGAGUAAUAUUUCCUUUAAGAUACAGAACAAAAACAAAGGUAACAGAGAUAUGUAACGUUUAUUUUUUUAUUUUAUGUCGACACAACAAAAUACUUCAAUGUUUAGGUAAAAAAAAAAAAAAAGGGUAAAACCCAUGGAUUGGAUGGUAUUGGUAAAAAUGACAAAGAAACGUCACAAAGUUGAAGACGUUCGUCCCUUGCCCGCCACUCAAGUGAUGACUUAUAUAUGAGUCUUAUGACCAAUAAUAUACAUAUAUCUCCUCCUAUUUUUGUCAAACAAGUCCAAAUUUGCUUCUUGCUACGCCUUCGUGGCACGCAAAAUAUCAACAACACAAAAGAAUUGUCUGAACACAAACACUAUCAAGUAUUUAAGACAUCAGCGGUGAUGUCAUCACCACAUCCAUAUCUUUUCCAAAAUUUGCAACCUUUAUAUCCCGACAAUUUUUAGCAAAUUCUCUACCUCUUUCUCUUCUCUCUCUUCUGUGGGAGAAAAAAUGGAGAUAUCGCUUGCAUCGGUAACCAUUUCAGUAGCUAUAGCUGUUGUGUCGUGGUGGAUAUGGAGAACUUUACAGUGGGUUUGGUUUAAACCAAAGAUGCUUGAGAGUUACCUGAGAAGACAAGGUCUUGCCGGAACUCCUUACACACCUCUUGUCGGCGAUUUAAAGAGGAAUUUCAGCAUGCUGGCUGAGGCAAGAGCCAAACCCCUCAAACUAACGGAUGACAUCACAACACGUGUCGUGCCUUAUCCCUUGCAAAUGUUCAAGACUUACGGUACGCUUCCUGGUUGGCAUCUCUUGAUUCUUUAGAACUGUUGCAGAGUAUCUGUUCUAGAGAAAAAGGUUUCAACCUUUGUAUUUUUAUUAUAUCGUUGGAACGGAACAGG